GAGCUGGAACGUUUUGUUUAUCGUGCCAAAGAAGUUGUUACAGCUUCGAUGUGGCACGAUUGUGUUCACUGUUAACACGCAGACUUUUUACAUAUCAAAGCACGCAGAUAGAAGUAAGGACGUCGUAGCGUAGUGCAGGGUUAGAGUAAUGACAAAGAAAGACGUCCAGCCUCCAUGCUUACUUUUAACAAAAAAGAAGUUAUGGAUUCUAACGACGGUAGGAAGAGACGCAAGGUAAGCGGCUUUGUGCGGGGCUGCAGGCGGAGUGUGGCCGGAAAGAUGAAACGAGAGAUGAGCAAAGUCCUGCGCUCCAUAGCGCUGGACGAUAACAACCGUAAAGAGCUCGUGCAGGGGGAAGAGGACGACUACGACUGCUUCCCUAUCAGUUUCCUCCGCAGUGACCUAUUGGAGCCCCACUUAGUCGUGGCUCCCCGGUACAGCCUGCUACGAGAGGUCGGUCGUGGAAGCUACGGGGUGGUGUACGAGGCUGUAGCUCGGAAAACAGGGGCCAGGGUAGCGGUGAAGAGGCUGCAGUGUGACGCCCCGGAGAAAGUGGAAUUGGCGCUAGCCGAAUUCUGGGCCUUGACGAGCUUGGAGAACCGACACCAGAAUGUAGUCCAGCUGGAAGAGUGUGUCCUGCAGAGGAACGGCUUGGCCCAGAAGAUGAGCCACGGAAACAAGAAAUCAAAGCAGUAUUUGCGGCUCGUGGAGACUUCACUCAAAGGAGAACGUAUCCUGGGCUACUCGGAGGAACCAUGUUACCUUUGGUUUGUUAUGGAGUUUUGUGACGGUGGGGACCUUAACCAGUACAUUUUGUCCCGCCGGCCUGAUCCCCAGACCAACAGGAACUUUAUGCGCCAGCUGACCAGUGCUGUGGCUUUCCUGCACAGGAACAGUAUCGUCCACCGCGACCUUAAACCAGACAACAUUCUUAUCUCACAGAAGUCUGGUUUUCCUAUUCUUAAAGUGGCUGACUUUGGACUCAGUAAGGUUUGUGCUGGUCUGACCUCCAGAAACGGUGAAGAACAUCCCGUAGCAGGAGCAGGUGCCAGAGGGAGCAUCCAGAACAGCUCGGUCAACAUAAACAAAUUCUGGUUGUCAUCAGCCUGCGGCUCGGACUUCUACAUGGCUCCUGAGGUGUGGGAGGGUCACUACACAGCCAAGGCUGACAUCUUUGCUCUGGGUAUCAUCAUCUGGGCAAUGAUCGAAAGGAUUACUUUUAUUGAUGCAGAGUCCAAGCGUGAACUGCUGGGUACUUAUGUUCGGCAAGGCUCGGAAAUUGUCCCAGUUGGGGAGGCUUUGCUGGAGAACCCCAAGAUGGUGCUCCAUAUUCCUCAGAAGGCCAGAAGCUCAAUGUCUGAGGAGGAGAAGAAACUCCUCCACGAGAUGCUUGCAGUAAACCCUCAGGACCGACCGGACGCCCUCCAGCUGGAGGUGCGGAUGGACCAAGUCACAUGUGCUGUUUGACAGACAGCACUUCCUAUAACCUCUUAUUUCCCUUACCACUCAAAGAAGGGACCUUUCAACUUCCCAGGUAUCGACUCCAGUGGAAAAACUGACCCUGACAAGCUGAAUUGUGAGGAAUCUUCAAUCAUAAUUUGAGUGCGGAGUCACAGACCGCUCACUCCAAAACAGUCCGGACCAGUCUGCAAGUCAAACCACAACGACGCACUUCCAACUCCACGUAGUUCCAACACAGUCACUGUGGUGCUUUGGACUGGGGACGAUUGGAGCACAUAGUUUCUCUGAGAGCGACCUGGGCAUGAAACUGUGCGUCUGUUAUGUAGUGGUGGACUUUUGUUCCCAUCCUUCCCAGUAUAGGCCUGUUCUUCCUUAAUUGUGUAAGGUCUGUGACUGUGGCACAGGUUACUGUAUGUCAUUGCACUCUACUGUACCAGUAUUCAAUCAUUGUACUAAUGAUAGCAGUAGCUGUAAACGGUUGACCUCCCAGUGCAACCUUGUGCCUUAACAAUGAUGUACACUAAGUGCACUUUGAUUUCUAAAACUAUUUUGUGGGUCGCUUUUGAAAGGAAAGAAGGAAAUUUACUGGAACCACUUUCAUCUCAUGUAAGCUGAGCAACUGAGUCUUCUGCUUUCAGUGGGGUUUGACACAAUAUUCCAGGCUGCAUUAAUAUCAUAUGGGAACGUGCCCCCCUCUGUCCAAACACUGAAGUACAAUCAUGAAACUGAAUCUGAGACAUUGAUUUAAACCAAUGACAGGUGAAGUGAUUAAUGUUGAUUACAUUGAGGCACAGUGAGUAGCACUGUUCCCAAUGUCUGGUUUCAUGGAGGCCCUCUCUCAAAUCCAUCGGGGCUCGAGGCAUCCCAACAUGCUAAUGCCAGACACAACAGGACACCCCCAGAGUUUCUUCCUGUCAGUGUCCUGACAGGUCGGAGGUGUUUCGGGGUCGUGAUCAGUGUCGCACUGGAGAAACACUGUGCGCAUAUGAUCAGUUUUGUGCUCUGAAGGAAAAGUAACAGGCCUGUAUCAGCUCCACACAACCCUUCAGCAGGGAGUUCACACUAUCCUAUUGGACAUUUGUUCCUGAUUAAUCCAAAGAGCACGUGAUGGAAAAGCCCAUCUAUGUGGUAACGUGUAGUCAUCCAUGUUGAAAAGAUUCUGAGGAUGGUUCUGUAUUCUUUUGAAUGGUGCAGCGUGAAUCAUGUGUAUCGGGUCAUAUCUAAGCAGCACUGACCCGUUUAUGGCAGAAGGACCUCUGAUUAGCAUCUGGAGACCAUUCCCCAAACCAGCCACUGAAGUGUGUUAGACUCUUUGCAGUGUCGAGUGAUGCUGUGGUUGGACAGACGCUUGUGGUUGGCUGAUCGGAGCCCCUGUAACUCCUGGGAAACUUUUGGGAUUUUUGACUUGAUUUGUGAAAACUGGUCACUCCAGAAAAUGAAUAAAGCCAUGAGGCUUGAAGGAAAAGAGCAAAAUACAACACAGCAACUUUAGAAGGAGAGCGCAGUGUUAGAUAGCUCUUCUAGCCUUCACUCCAGCAUAGACCCGAGGAGCUCCUUUGGCUUUCACAUCACUGUAUUACAUGGUAGUAUAAUACAGUAGAUUUUGAGGUGUUUUGUGAUGUACCUCUACCUCAUUCUCUGCACUCUGAAACCUCUUUCUUAGCUUUACUGUCUCUGUAGCAAACUUAUCUUAGUCUGUGAUACAAGACGCACUUUGAGUGGGAUAGAUUUUUACCUCAGACUCAAUGACUUAUUUUAAUUCAACCUCACUUUUAUUUAU